rnacentral:rRNA from 1 species
AUACGGAGGGUGCAAGCGUUAAUCGGAAUUACUGGGCGUAAAGCGUGCGCAGGCGGUUUUGUAAGACAGGCGUGAAAUCCCCGGGCUCAACCUGGGAAUGGCGCUUGUGACUGCAAGGCUAGAGUGCGUCAGAGGGGGGUAGAAUUCCACGUGUAGCAGUGAAAUGCGUAGAGAUGUGGAGGAAUACCGAUGGCGAAGGCAGCCCCCUGGGACGAGACUGACGCUCAUGCACGAAAGCGUGGGGAGCAAACAGGAUUAGAAACCCCUGUAGUCC